AGGUCAGACGUUCAGGAGACACAGGGGAACCAUCAAUUAAUUUGCAACUGAGCAUAUUGUCUGUACAAAGUUUCAGAAGUUAAAAGCUCACGUGAUUGAGCUACUUCGUCUGAAACAUGACUGAAACUCUCUCUCUGCAUCUGGAUUUGCAUGCUCGACUGUUCCAGUGACUUUGACACAAAGUGGCUGAAGGUGAAGGUCGAGGUCACGCUGAUUUAAUGUCCUGUUUCUUUAAGAUGACACCAGAGCCAGGAGGAGCCGAGUGUGGGUGGACGGUCUUGUGGUCGUGACUGAGCCCUUUGACAGGAAAUGUAAUCAAGAUAGUGUAAUACGAGUUGGCAAAAGUAACUCACACAUCAUGGUUACUUCUCUAAAACGAAUAAAUGCUUCGUUUUCACAUGACUGUCACACACUCGCUGCUGCCAUGGUAACCUGCAGAGGAAGGAGAGAAAGUGCAGGAAAGAGAGAGAGGGGGGAUACUCGCUGCUUUUAGGAGUAGCAGGAAGCUGCAUCGUCGGAGACAAGCCCCCGGGAAGUGCGCCGGAUUCUGAUGAGAAUAUUCGUUGUGGCCAAACGGCGGUACUACACUUCCGUUAGGUUGCUGGGCCCG